UACAGUUUAGUUUAAUUAAAAUAUCUACUUUACACGUAGAGGUUUCCAUUUGAGGAUUCUGUAA
rnacentral:tRNA from 1 species